rnacentral:rRNA from 1 species
UACGUAGGGUGCGAGCGUUAUCCGGAAUUAUUGGGCGUAAAGAGCUCGUAGGCGGUUUGUCACGUCUGCUGUGAAAGCUGAAGGCUUAACCUUUCAGUGUGCAGUGGGUACGGGCAGGCUGGAGUGCAGUAGGGGAGACUGGAAUUCCUGGUGUAGCGGUGAAAUGCGCAGAUAUCAGGAGGAACACCGAUGGCGAAGGCAGGUCUCUGGGCUGUUACUGACGCUGAGGAGCGAAAGCAUGGGGAGCGAACAGG